rnacentral:rRNA from 1 species
CCCUUAGAUGUUCUGGGCCGCACGCGCGCUACACUGAUGCAUUCAACGAGUUUCUUCCUGGUCCGAGAGGAAUGGGUAACCUUUUGAAAGUGCAUCGUGAUAGGGAUAGACUAUUGCAAUUAUUGGUCUUCAACGAGGAAUUCCUAGUAGACGUAGUUCAUCAGACUGCAUCGAUUACGUCCCUGCCCUGUGUACACACCGCCCGUCGCUCCUACCGAUUGAAUGCUCAGGUGAGCCAUUCGGACUUUCAUCAUGCUGGUUUCCAGUUUUGAUGAAGGAAAGUCUUGCGAACCUUAUCAUUUAGAGGAAGGAGAAGUCGUAACA